GGGCAGUUGCCAGAGUGGACAAUUGGGCCUGACUGUAAAUCAGGUGCGCGAGCUUCGGUGGUUCGAAUCCGCCACUGCCCA
rnacentral:tRNA from 1 species